rnacentral:lncRNA from 1 species
UUUAAAAUAAAAAAACAGAAAAUCGUAAUUGAGAAUAAGGACUUCCUGCUGCUGUAAUGCAGUGCUGGAGAAAGAGAGAGAGAGAGAGAGAGAGAGAGAGAGAGAGAGAGAGAGAGAGAGAGAGAGAGAAUCGGGGGAUGGGUUGUGGCGCAGUUUAGAAUAAAUCGAAAGUAAGGUGUAUUUCCUCCUUUAGAAGAGGAGAGAAGAUCUACAGAGGUUCGAAUUAUCUCGGAGAUCUUGGCAGCAUCUUGAGUAUCCUCCUUCAUGAUGGAGCCUCAUCACUCCAUAUCUCGGAGUGAAUCUCCUGUCAUAAAUGAUGAAGGAGAACGCCCACUACGUAACCCUCUGCUUAGACACGCAUCAGAACCCGUUUACAGUACUCUAGGAUUUGAUUUUACUGGAAGGUGAGUAAUAAACCGGCCUUCGGCCUUGUGCCUACGACUGCAUCACAGCAGUGUCGUUUAACUUAUGUACUCUAUGCAACAUUUAAGUCUUGAAACCAAAUUGAAGUUACUUAAAUUCAUCUGAAAUUAAGUUUUGCUUAAAAAAAAGCAAAUGCAGAAAGUUGCGAAACUUUUUUAAAGAAAAUGUUACUCAUCAUUUUGUUCGGUGCAGUUGCACUGCUCCACAGGUCAGUGCUGGGGGUAGGAGUCGUGUUAUAUUCCUGCAGCCCACAGACGGCAUUAGGAAUGGUGCAGUAUACUCACGUUUAUCUGCUCCAUGGGGCUGCGUGACUCUGAAGACCACAUCCCUUCAAGCUCUACAGCCUACUUUUAGUACUGGAGGAGAAAAUCCAGAGCACAGCAACAGCUGUCAGAAAAACCAUCAACCCCCUAACAUCCGUACUGCAGGAGAACAUCCAGAGCACAGCUAUUGGAACGAAUCCCCAGACCUUCAAAUCCCUAAUUUCUGUACUGGAGAAAAACAUGCAGAACUCAGCGAUUCGGACGCAUCCCCAGACUUUUCCUGCCCUAACUUCCGUACAGGAGUGAAACAUGCAGAACUUAGCUAUGAGAAAAAAUACACAAACUUUCUACACUCUUACUUCUGUACUGGAGAAAAACAUGCAGAUCUCAGCGAUUCGGACACAUCCCCAGACUUUUCCCGUCCUAACUUCCGUACUGGAAAGAAACAUGCAGAACUUAGCUAUCAGAAAAAAUCCAGAUACUUUCUACACCCUUACUUCCGUACUGGAGAAAAACAUGCAAAUCUCAGCAAAUUGAAAACAUCCCCAGACUUUCCUCGCCCUAACUUCUGUACUGGAAAUAGCAUGAUCUUAAGCUAUAAACUCCUUGCCUUCAGUGCUGGAGAAACGACAAAGGCAGAAAAGGCAGAUGUGAGCAAUCAGGCACAGAAAGAGUAACUGAUCGAAUUUUGUAUAUUUUAAUUGCUGCCAUUUGGUAUUGUUGAUAAUGUUGUUAUCAUAUUACUAUUAAGCACUGUUAACCAUGAUUGUAUGUGACUUUUUAUUAAUAACAUAUAAAGGCAAGGAAAGGCAAGUUUAUUUGAAUUGCACCUUUCAUACAAAAUGGUUAUUCAAAGUGCUUUAGAAAUGAGAAAAUACAAAGAGGAGUCAAAAUAUAAAAACAUGUAACAAUAAAAAUGGAAAUAAAAGAAUACCA